AACCAAAGUGGGAGUGCACGGGAUGACAGCAGGAAAGUAAAGGAUGAUGGCUGGAGAGAUGGCCUGGGAGUGAAAUGGAGCCUGGCUGGACUCAGUCCCCAAUGCAGUAGGAUGGCUCUGGGAAUAAGGAGAAGAAAAAAGGAGGAAUUGGUGGAUAAAAAGAAAAUAUCGCAAUAAACAUGUUUUUCUUUUUGUUUAAAAAAACUAAUUGAUUUGAAUGACCUGGGAAGAUGGAAUUGAAAGCAUGUUGAGAAUUUUGGCUGAAAAUCAAUUGAGUAACACUGCCAGAACCUUGGGAAACAAAUUCAAAGUAAUUGUGACAAAGCAAAGAAAAGGUCAGAAGAAAAUUCAGUGUGUGAGAUCUCUUAGCAAUCAAAAACAUACUCUCAGGCAAGAGUUCUUAAUUUGAGAUUUCUGAACUUAAUUUUUUUUUCUAAUACUGUGUUUCCCUGUAAUGGACUUCCUUUUUAAUCCUGUGUAGUUCGUUUUAUAUAUUUAAAAACAUUCUUUUGAGAAAAGGAUCCAUAGACUUAUCAG
rnacentral:lncRNA from 1 species